CCCAAGUAAUGUCCAUGAGGAAAUGGGUUUGAUCCCUGGCCUUGCUCAGUGGGUGAAGGUUCCAUGAGCUGUGGAUUAGAUUUUUGAACCACCUCAGAUCACGUUUGGCCAAGGCCAUUGUGGUGGCAUAGGCCAGCAUGUGUCGCUCUGAUGGACCACCAGCCUAGGAAUUUCUCCAUGACAUGUGUGGGGACCCUAAAAUCAAAGUAAAAUCUACUUAAAAAAUAAAGUUACACCUGGCCUCCUGUUAUUAUUGAAUAAUUGCAGUAACAAAUCAUUGUAUCUUUGCCCAGGGUAUACUUUAGUACAUGAAUUUUAUCAGAAGAAUGAUAUCCAUUGAAAUCCUAUCACCGUGUACACAAGGAUCUACUCUGUGGCCUUUAUUUCUCAUGAGAUGAAGAAGAGAAAGACACACUCCCCGUCAGCUCUUUAAAUAGGUGUGGUUAAUACUAAGAAAUAAUGCACAAAAGAAUGGGAAAAUCCUCCACCAGUAAAGGAGAACACCAUUGCUCCUGGAAAGGCAAGGUUUCAACCUGCACUGGUGCUCUGUAUCUUUUGUGUGGCUUCUGAAGGAAGUGGGCAUAGAGAUGGAUGGAUUCAUGCAUAAGCAUUAUCACUGAGUUGUGUCACGGUGAGUGAAAGAAAAGAGGCUUUAGGUAUGGACAUGUUUUCAUACAAUAUUAGUCACCAUGGGCACGUCAAAUUUUCCAUUUCAAAAAAAAAAAAAAUCCCUGUGGCCUGUUGUUCAAAAGACUUGCAAAGAGGCUUGCUGUGCCACUUACCUGGUUGAUUCUUCAGAAGAUGCAUGAAAGAAGAGCCAAUGAUUUUGCAUUCUUGACCUAUUUCUUUUCACGGGCAAUAGAGCCACAUAUUUCAAUGGUCCAAAUCUGAGUUUGAAGACAAAAGCCCUACCUGCCAGCACUGAGUAUCACUGGUACCAUUUUUGGUCACAUUUCCUAGAUAGAGAUAUCGUUCAGGCCUAUUGAAGGAAAAACCUAUGUCAUAAGAUUAAUGAGGUCUAGGAAGUGGUCUAAUAUAUGCUUUCAUUUCAUUUCCCACCAAUGGUAGUCUCUUCCUCCAACUGGCUAUUUGGUGUUGGCUUGAUAACCUCUAAUGUAGAGGACUGUUCUAUAAUAAAAGAAUGACACCUCCCA
rnacentral:lncRNA from 1 species